UCCUUACCUCAAUUUUAACUCAGAGGAGCCAAACAGCUACGGUCCCUCUGAGGGCUUUUAUACCCGGUGGGAUUUGCCGCCUCCCUUUUCCCAGGCAGCGUGGGAAAAAGAGGCGGGCUCAAUUAGGGGUAUAUUAACCCCAGGCUGUGCUAAGGGGCAUUAUUCCCUCCAAGGGAAUCAGCUGGGCUAAAGAGCUUGUCUCUCAUUUCAGCGAAGAGGCUCUUUCAAUUUACUCCAGCCUGCUUUUAGCAGGUAUCUUUUGGGCAUUUGAAGCAGCAGAGGUUUUGAAAACACCUUGAAGAAAACAUUAUGGAACACAGGGAGUAUUUAAGUUCAUGAUUUUGGGUUGAGAGUUCAGGGGUGAUAAGAUGCUUUUAUAAUGAUUCUUCUGUUUGGGUUUUUUUUAGGAGGAUUGCAGUUUCCUGAAGUUCUAGGUCACGUCAAGUGCGAUACUUCAGAUUCUCUCAGCAGAUUCAUCGUGACACAAAAGGGAACCGCUGUGGCAGCUUUCCUUAGCAGCAGAUUAGUCUCUCCGAUGGAUUCGCUUCGGAGAGAUAAGUCGAGGGCUGUGGUCACAGAGGGGAUCGAAGCAGGGUAGUGGGUUAGGAUUCACACCGGUUAGGGUUUUGAGUCAGCUAUGGGGAGGGGGAGGUUUGAGAACUGGCCUCUAGGGCCACGGUGAGGGAAAGGCUCACUUUGGCUAACAAUGCUGAGGCGGGCAGGGCAGAGCAGUCCCAAGGUGUGUUGUCACUUGUCUGUUGUGCUUUCUGUGUCUUCCGUUCAUCUCGUGUAACAUGUCUCUUGCCUUAGUUCUCCCAGGAGCUUAUGAGAAACCCCAGGUCCUUCCGGUCAUCUCCCAUCUUUGCGUUCCUCGGCCCGGGGCCGACGCCGGCGAAGUUUCGAUUCGGGAGGUCAGACAGGCAUCAGAAUCGCAUCUCUGUUCAGCAGCAUCCGAUCGGAUGUCUUUUUAGGUCUUGUUCUCAGCUGUGUUGACAGCUGUAUGCAGUAAUCUUUCUUUACAGUGGAUAAGGACUUGUGCCGAUUCAAAGGCAGGCAGAGGCUUCCAGCCACAGGAUUCUCAGGCAUCCGUCUCCGCGGUUCUCGGAAUAAGUCGUUCCGUUAGCAUCUUUUUCCUCCGGGGUCAUCCGAGCCCGGCGGGCUCGCCUUCGGUCCCUCCUCGGUCAUCUUGUUCAGCAUUUUCUCAGUCCUCGUGAGGACUUUCUCGUCUCAGAGUUUUCUCUCCCUGUCGUGUCCCCUCGUCUCACGUGUCACGGGUGUCUGGGGGUAUUCGGUCCGGAACUGCUCUGCCCUGCCGCCCGGCCCCGUUGCAGGUGUUCAAGGACAAGUCCCGGGCACUUGUAAUUGGAGACUCGUAAUACGGGCUGUAGUUGGAGUCUAGAUGCGGAUGGAUCGACCUCCUGGCAGAGCGCCUCGUCCCAGAUGAGGGGAUCCCCCUGAGAAGGAAGUAAAGCCGGAUAGCAGCAGUGAAGGUGAAGCAUUGUGAAGGUGGUCUACUUGCAAGAUAUCCCAGCCCAGGAUGCCAGAGGACAGGUUCCGUGCAGAGAGGCAGAGCCGAAGUUUGCGAUCGGCCGCACCGAAGCCGGCACGGGG